rnacentral:rRNA from 1 species
UACAGAGGUCUCAAGCGUUGUUCGGAUUCAUUGGGCGUAAAGGGUGCGUAGGCGGCGCGGUAAGUCGGGUGUGAAAUCUUGGAGCUUAACUCCGAAACUGCAUUCGAUACUGCCGUGCUUGAGGACUGGAGAGGAGACUGGAAUUUACGGUGUAGCGGUGAAAUGCGUAGAUAUCGUAAGGAAGACCAGUGGCGAAGGCGGGUCUCUGGACAGUUCCUGACGCUGAGGCACGAAGGUCAGGGAGCAAACGGG